UGGGGAAUUUUGGACAAUGGGCGAAAGCCUGAUCCAGCAAUGCCGCGUGAGUGACGAAGGCCUUAGGGUUGUAAAACUCUUUCGUCGGGGACGAUAAUGACGGUACCCGAAGAAGAAGCUCCGGCUAACUUCGUGCCAGCAGCCGCGGUAAUACGAAGGGAGCUAGCGUUGUUCGGAAUCACUGGGCGUAAAGCGCACGUAGGCGGAUAGUUAAGUCAGGGGUGAAAUCCUGGGGCUCAACCCCAGAACUGCCUUUGAUACUGGCUGUCUCGAGGUCGAGAGAGGUUGGUGGAAUUCCUAGUGUAGAGGUGAAAUUCGUAGAUAUUAGGAAGAACACCAGUGGCGAAGGCGGCCAACUGGCUCGAUACUGACGCUGAGGUGCGAAAGCGUGGGGAGCAAACAGGAUUAGAUACCCAUGUAGUCCCUGAGCGGGCUGGCAAGGC
rnacentral:rRNA from 1 species